AAAAAACUCUUAAGUUUCACAUUUGCCAGAAUGACACACGAUUAUUACGUCAAAAUUCAGGUAUGGUGGUUUAGACUUGCACCAACUGUUUUAUAUAUUGAUAUUGUCAUCUAUAUUUCUCCCUCCAGGAUGUGAAAGCCAUGUUCAGGUGAAAAACGUGCGGUAUGUAUAAAUAUUCAGCCAAGUUCGACAGACAUAGGGAAAUUAAAUACAUGUAGCAUCAGUUGUGGGGGUCUGUAGACAAUCUGUUUCGAGGCUACAUAGCCGUAGCGUAUCCUCUUUUUCAAAUAUACAUUCAAUUAUGGGCUGGUAAUCCUUAUCCAUCAUAUUAUAGGUCCUUCAAUUUCCUGUUUUGAUUUAAUUUAAUUGCGCUCGACUUGAACACGCUUACAAUACUAAUAUUUUUUAUUUGCAUGUUUUGGUGGGAAGUUAAUGUUACUCUAGAAUCUGUCAGUUAAAUGACCAUUUUUAGAUAACGAUUUGAAUUCUAUGAUAAAGUUUUAAUUUAAGAGCAUACAAUCUAUUGCAGGAUUAUGGCCACUAAUUGGAAUGUUUGUGGUGUUUGUGAAAAUCUUCAGAUUACCAAACCUUCAGUAGUAUGGUGUUCCGAAUGUGACGAAGGACUAUGUGGAGAGUGUAAGAAACAUCAUGCAGUUUCUAAGGGAACAAAAAGCCAUGAAACCGUUUCUAUCGCCGAAUACAAAAACUUACCCACCGAAGUCCUGCAAAUCUCUCAGACCUGCAAACUUCAUAAUGAGAAAUACGAGCUGUUCUGUACAAAACACGAUUGUCCAUGCUGUAAAAAAUGUGUGAAAUCUCACAACGAUUGUAAAGGUUUAACUGACAUUAAUGAACUCAUAAAAAACGUCAAAACUUCAAACGCAUUAAAUGAAAUCGAACAAACCAGUGCAGGAAGUCGUCGAGAAUAUUAAACGACUAAGCACGAACAGGAAUGAAAAUUUAAAAUCUAUAGAAAACAAGAAAAGAGAAAUUGAAGCAGAAAUAAAACAAACCAGGAUACAAGUAAAUCACCACCUUGAUAAACUUCAGGAUGACUUAAUUAAAGAAUUACUGAGAGAGUUGAACAACACGAAAAAAGCAUAAUAGAAAACUUGCUGACUACUCUGAAAAAAAAGGAAAAAGAGAUGACUGAAGUACAAGAAAACUUUGUCACUAUUAAACAACAUGCGUCCGAACUUCAAACAUUUUUAACCAUGAAAGAUAUCGAAAAAUAUAUUGUAGGUGACGAAAAGUGUAUUCAAUCGAUUACUACGAGUGACUCCACACAUCAAGUCAAUAUUUCAUGUCAGAUUAAUAAGUCUUUACAGCAAAUAACAGCCAACGUGCAGAAGUUUGGAGAAAUUAUUGUCAAUGCUGAUCCAUGUGAUUUUUCCGUUCAGAAAAGGAAGGACAGACAAGCCCAGAUUAUGGUAGCUCUUCCAACCAAAAAUAUCGAUAACCUGACUCUGACAUUACAGAAUCGUAUCGAUACAAAGUUGUCAGGUGUCUGUGGCUGUUCACUGCUUCCUGAUUGUAGAAUGGUAUUCUCCUCUUUUAAUGACGAUAAAAUAAGAGUAUUUAAGUCUGACGGAUCAAAAGAUUUCGAAAUAAAGGACAUUGGUAAAACGUAUGAUGUGGUAUUUAUUGGUGAUGAUUCUAUUGCUGUUACAUUCGGCGAGUCAAAAAAGAUUAAUAUAAUCGACUUAAAGACCCACAAACUGAAGAAAUCGAUAAAAGUUGAUUCAUACACUGGUGGAGUAACAUACAAAAAUGGACAUUUAAUAUAUUGUGCCAGAGAAAAAGGAAUACAGAUGCUCAGUUUAAAUAACGGAACCAUUACCAAUGUGAGCAGUACCAAACUCCCACACUACGCGUACGUAACAACAUUCGGUGAAAAACUGAUCUACACAAAUAUGAACAAUAACAGUGUAACCUGCUGUGACUACCAUGGUAACAUACUGUGGAAUUUCUGUGAUACAAGUGCUCUUCCAUUUCCAGUGGGUAUAUCUGUAGACAAUGAUGGUAACGUGUAUGUAGCGGGGUAUUCUACUUACAACGUUGUCGUUAUCUCUCCUGAUGGACAGCGCUGCAGACAAAUUCUCACACGUGAAGAUGAUUUUAGCGAGCCAUGGACUCUGCAUUAUGACACAUCGACCAAUGAAUUGUUAGUUGCUAAUGAAUCCAAUGAAGCAUUUUUGUAUGAUGUUAAAUGAUUAGAAAUGAGGAGUGCUUUUUCCAGAAUUCAAUUUUUUUUUUGUUGAUCUCGAUUACUAACAUCCUUUAAAAGGAAUAAUACUAAUUUUGUGUGAUCUAAUUUAGAUUUGUUUAAAGUUAUUUUUUAGUGUUACUAACUGGCUGCUUCUGUUUCUGUUUUGGCCCCAUCAUAGAUUCGAGUUUAUUUGUAUUGAACCCGAAUCCUGAAGACAGCUUAUCGAGAAUCUAGAGACAAAUAUUAGAGAAAAAAUUAACUACUUACGAUUCAUUAUAAUUUAUAGGUACACGUUUAGGUGAACUACGUUGGUAUACAUAAACAUUUUCAAUAAGGUUUAUAUUUGUAAGGAUUAAACUAAAAUUUGAAGAAAACGCGAAAUAUAAUUGAGAUGCGGGAUAUACGUUAAAGAGACCAGAACCCAACGUCGACAAGAUAUAGUGGAGUGACAAAUCACGAAAAAGGUGCUUAUUUUACGAGUUUAAUGGACCGGCAUACCUGCAGGCUGAAAAUUACAUUUUUGCAAAGCCAAUACAUUAAUCUAACUUUUUUGCCCGAUCGUAGACAUUUCGUACGGUGCAAUUUUUUUGGAGAGUGAAAAGAAAAUGAAUUUUUGAUUUUAACUUGAAAUGCAUUCCAAAAACAUUUUUUAACAUGAUUUCAUUUUAAUAAUCCACAAACUCUUAAUUUUGGAUUUUAUUAAGAGAGUUACUACACAUGUAUAUUAUAAAAUGAAAUUUUUUCUAUUGAAACUUAUUUUUUAACUUUUUUAUCCCCUUUGAAAAAUGCAUACUUUUUUUUUUAUUUGAACGGAGAGGUUACAAAACUUGUAAUUCAUAAUUUAUCGAUAUAUUACAAAGUGUUUUAUGUGAAAAGUAAUAAAACUUCAUUUUCUAAACUUAUGAGACCAACUUCAGCUCAUUCGGAUGAGUAUAUCUAUAUUUUUAGCAAUUUAUAAACAUUGCUAUAAAAUUAAUUUAUUUUUAAUUCCUUACCGAUACGCAGUAUUAUUACUUUUGAUCUUCUAAAAUCUCUUGAACGUGGCAACCAAAUGGUCAAGUCUUUUGUCGAAGGUUGCUUUAAUGAAGGUGAAACCGUGUUUUCUACAGUCCUAUUUCGAGGUCUCCACUAAAGACAUUUGAGGAUAUGACUAAGACUUCAAAACUCAGAUGUAAAACAGGUGACUUUGUGAAAGCCCAUAUAAACCCAGAGAUGAUAUUUCGUCUCGCUUUAGCCCUGGCUAAUGUUCGAGAAGAUGUUACAGUAGACAAGAUCUUGGCAUAUUCUAUUGGUUAAAUACCUUCAGCACUUUUCCACGAUGAUGGUACCAUGCGUGAGUGUUGCAAAUCAGAUAUAAUUCACCUACUUGAAGAGGAAAUCUGCUCUUCCUUCAACCUUCCAAGUUAUGACACAGCAAAUACAGUUUUGAUACGUGAUGGUAUGGGAAUUAUAAAAUGUAUGGAUGUCAAGAAAUGCAACACAUUUGGUGAUCCGCUACGAAACUAUGUAAAAAUGCUUCUGACGUGUUUUUAAAAUGCUGGAACAGUGGUCGAUGUUUUUGAUCGCUACGAUGUAAAACAUUCAAUCAAAGCAGCGGAAAGAUUGCGUCGAACCUUGUCAUUUGGAGCUCAAACGGUUUAUCAGGUUAUUAAAGGAAGAGCAAUUCCGGACUGGAAAAAGUUCAUUUGCAAUCGAGAAAAUAAACAGUCACUUAUCAGAUUACUUGGUGAGUAUUGCGAACGGUAUUUUGGACAGUCUCCUUUAGAGGGAGGUACCGAAUUGUUUCUCGCGGGUGUUUUUGAAAACCCAGAAGUUGUCAAGAGAAUUUCUUGUGAUGGCCUGUCAAAUUGUACUGACUUAUACAGCACACAAGAAGAAGCAGAUACACGAAUGAUUCUUCAUUCGGUGUAUGCAGAUGCCAAUAUUUUUUCGAAUGAUAGAAAAGGUCGUAUUAUUAUAUUUUUAAGUCAUCUGACACUGAUGUGUUAGUGCUCUGUGUCCACUAUUUUCCUAAACUUGAAAAUACAGAGGAGAUGUGGUUCCAAACUGGGUCAGUAUCAAAUUUGAAAGAUGGAAGGCGUUUUCUACCUGUUCACGAUAUAUGUCGCUCACUUGAACCCUCAAUCUGUAAUUUACUGCCCGCCACACAUGCCCUCACAGGAUGCGAUACAACUUCUUUUUUGGGUCUCGGAAAGAAGUCUAUGUACAAACUUUUGCAGAAAAGUGCAGACAAUUUCAAAUCCCUUCAGAUAGGUUUUUCAACGGGAGAUCAGGAAUCCGCCAUUCAUGAUGGACGCAAAUUUGUUGCAUUGUUAUACGAUCCGAAGAGAAAAUUCAGUGAUUUACAUGAAGACCUGAACAAGUUAAGGGUGAAAUUUGCCACAACAAAAGAUAUGAAUCUUGUUAGAUUGCCCCCAUGUGAGGCGUCCUUUUACAACACAUCCUUCGUGCAAUGUUACAGACGCAAGUUUGGAUUCAUUCACACAUUGCAAAACCAGCAACCAGACAGCCCAAAACUCUUGUUGGCAAGAGGGUAAAAAUGGUUUACUACCGAUUUUGUUUGAAGGACCUAUGUCAGCAGAUUUCCUUCAAGACCUUAUUUGCACAUGCAAGGGUAAAAAAGGCUUGCAAUAAAAAUUGUGUCUGAAACCAGCAAAAUCUAGGUUCUACAACUAUUUGUUCGUGUGAAGGUUCUGAGAGUUGUAGAAACUAUCCUACUCACAUUCAAAUUAGUGAAGAAGAUGACGAUGAAAAUGGCGUCUGAGUGAAUCAUGUAAAGCUGUAUAUAUUCAUGACAAUAUUUUUAACAACAUGAUUACAGUUGGUUUCUUUGUGGUUAAUAUCACUUCGACUAUGCGAUUAUUUGAACCUGUGUAUUUUUUGUUUGGUUCUUUGUUUUUGUGUAUGUUUUGUUUUGCAUUUGCAACUGCCCUUUAUGACUGACCACUUUUUUUUGUUUUAUGGGUUUCAUAAAAUUGAGAAAGGAAAUGGUGAAUAUGUCAAAGCGACAACCACCCGACCAUAGAGCAAACAACAGCCGAAGGCAACCAAUGGGUCUUCAAUGUAGCGAGAAUUCCCGCACCCGUAGGUGUCCUUCAGCUGGCCCCUAAAAUAUGCAUAAUAGUACAGUGAUAAUGGACGUCAUACUAAACUCCGAAUUAUACACAAGAAACUAAAAUUUAAAAUCAUACAAGACUAACAAAGGCCAGAGGCUUCAUGUAUGCAUAGCUGUCCUGCAAUAAGGGAAAGUUUGUUUUUCUAUCCGUAAAAUAUGUAUUUUUAUUGGAGUACACAUAACAAUUACGCAUUGGAAUUAAUUGUUUCGAUCUCAUUCACAUACCUUUGGUGAACUAUGUGCCACUGAGAAAUGGCAUAUACCAUACCAGAAGCAUAAUUUACUCUCUUUUAAUUUGAAAAAAACGUAUAAAUCAAAAAUACAUCGUAAAAUGUAUAUGUGAAGAAAAAAUACCAAUUAAAGGUCAUAAACAUGUUUAUCUUGUGUGUAAAUAUUGUUGCUGAUCUGAAUUUUCUUUAAAAUCGCCAUUUUUUUAUUUAUUUUUUUGGAUAGUGAAUUGUUACAGUUUAUUGCUUCAUUUAAGAAUUAAAUUUUGUUUAUUAAAGCAAAUGUGAUAUUAUUUUUUUGAUUGUUCAUAUCCCCGUGUGAAAUAAAUUUACUUCGGUGAAAAAAUCAACCACUGCACUUCAACCCCAAAUUAACCAAAAAUGCACCAUAUUUCGAUUCUACGACCAUGCAAACAUUAAACUUUAAUCAUUUCUCUAUCCAAAAAUGUAUAAUUUAGCCUGCAGGUAGGGUGGUCCACUAAAGUUGAAAAUUCAUCGACUUUGUCACUCCACUAAUACACUAUAAAUACACCACCAGACAUUCAACAUGAAUGAAACAAAAUGGUGGGUCUAUGUAAGUGAGACAACAAUCCGUGGCAUGAUUGUCAAUCAGAAGAUGUGGUAUGAUUGUCACGAAGGAGACUUGGCUUGAUUUUCAAUAAUGAGAUGUGGUAUGAUUGUCACGAAGGAGACUUGGCUUGAUUUUCAAUAAUGAGAUUUGGUAUGAUUGUCACGAAGGAGACUUAGCUUGAUUUUCAAUAAUGAGAUGUGGUAUGAUUGUCACGAAGGAGACUUGGCUUGAUUUUCAAUAAUGAGAUGUGGUAUGAUUUUCCAUAAUGAGAUGUGGUAUGAUUUUCCAUAAUGAGUGGUAUGAUUGGCAAAGUAGUAAUUGUAAAUAUAAAUAAACAGUAAGAUGUGAUUUGAUUGUCAAUAAGAAGAUAUGGCAGGAUUGAUAAUGAGUAUGUGUGGCUAGAUUGAUAGUUAUAAGAGACCGUAAACCAAAGACAACAUAUAAUGAAAAGAAUCAAUAUGAAUAUAAGACGUUGUAUGAUUGCCUUUAAAAAGAUACAUUCUAUGGGUAUAAUUGAUAGUUAGGAGAGGCAGUAACGAUUGUCAAAAAGCUGAUGUGGCUUUAAUGUUAUUAAGGAGAUGUUGUCUACUAAUCAUUAAAGAGAUGUAGUUUAAAGGUCAGUGAGAGAUGUGACUUGAUGUCAAUAAGGAGAUGUGGCUUGCAGUUUUAUAAGGAGAAGUAGCUUGAUUGUCAAUCAGGAGAUGUGGUUAAAUUGUCAAUAUUGAUAUGUGGCUUGAAGCUCAAUGAGGAGAUGUAGCGCAAAGGUCAAUAGGGAGCUGUGGCUUGUUAUUUGAUAAGGAAAUGUGGCUUGAAAGUCAAUAAGGAUAUGUUGAUUCAUUAUCAUUGAGGAGCUAUGGCUUGAUUUUCAAUAAUAAGAUAUGGCUUGUAGGUCAAUAUGGAGACGUGGUUUCAUUAUCAUUUGAGAGAUGUGGCUUGACUGUCAAUAACGAGAUGUGGCUUGAUUGUCAAUAAGGACAUGUGAUUUGUUUGUCAAUAAAGACAUGUGGUAUGAUUGUUAAUAAAGCAACGUGCUAAGAUUUUCAAGACAUACAUGUAAUUAGGAAAAUGUGGUAUGAUUGUAAAUAGGAAGACGUGGUUUAAGUGUAAAUAAAUAGACUUGGUUUAAGUGUAAAUAAAUAUACUUGGUUUGCGUGUAAAUAUUAUUUGGUUUAAAAAAGAGACGAAAGAUACAAAAUGGACAUUCAAACUCAUAAAUCGAAAAUAAACUGACAAUGGCAUAGCAAAAAACAAAAACAAAAAUAGACCAACAGACGUAAAUUCAAACCGAAUGGCCUACAUUUCACAUAACCUGAUUCUCUGAACAAUCACUUGACAUAAAGUUAUCCCCAUCCAACAAGCUUGAAAUAAAAUUAUACUUAGUUUAAUGAAAACAUAAAUCAUUUAAUAAUAAUAAUAUCUAAAACAAAAAAUACUAUUAUUAAAGCUAAACUAAUGAUUUACAGACAUUUUCAUUUUGCUAGCUUUACAGGUAUCCUGUCAGUUAUGUGUUAUGCUAUUACCAGUUAUUUUAGGAACCUUAAAUCACAUUAUUUCUUGGUGACAUCCAGUAAUAUAUUUCUAUGUGUGACAACCAAUCAUUUCAUCAUGCUAAGUGAAAAUUAGCAGAAAGGAAAUUCACAAAAAUACCUGUCUCCGAGGAACAUUCAAAAGAAAGUCCGAAAUCAAAUGGCAUAAUCAAAAGCUCAAACACUUCAUGAAAAACAACUGUCAUAUUUUUGACGUGGUACAGGGCUUGUUUUAAAGCUAGCUAAACCUCUUACUUUAUGACAGUCGCAUCACAAGAAGUUUUUCUGUACUCUAAAUCAUCUCUUAAAAAAUCUUCACGCUAAGAAUCCUUUUAUUACUUUUGAAACUGUCCACAAUAUUAUACUUGCCCUCUUUUGCUUUUUUAUCGUGUUUUAAAGUAGCUUUAUAUCACUGAAUAUAAUCAAGUGUAUAUUCUGUAACUAUAUCUACAGAUAGAUAGACAAAUACUAAUGUACAAUGUAUUUUAAAGAUACAAGCGAAAAAUAUUAUAAAAAAAACACACUGUUUAUCAACGCUUAAUUAUGUAACAUGUUUCAAUUUUACAUUUUUUUUAUAGAACUAUUUUGAUAGUAUUGAUUCAAUUGCACCGUUAGCUAAAUUAUUCGAACAAAACGAUGAAAUUAUAAUUUCAUUAAUUUCCAAGUGACGUUUUGUUCUCAUUAUCUUUAUGUUGAUCGGAUUGAAACAUAUCAUUUUGAUAUCAUCACAGUAAUGGUGAUAUAUAAAAGUAACUGAAAUGAAAAUUGUUCAAUUAGACAAAAUAUUUACUAGAACUAAAAAGGAAUUUUGGAAUGGGAAAAUAAACUAGAGAUUUUCAGCAUACUCUGAAUCAUGCAAAAUGCAAUGUGAAACAUAUUUUUCUUUGUAAACCUGUCAUAACAGAUCAAAGGAUCGGUGUUACUUAUUGUCUAUUCUCUUCUAAAAGAAUGCAUGUAGUAACACUUUUAACAAUUUGUCUUUUGAUCAGAUUUAAAAUUGAUUACCCCUUCCAAGCAUAAACUUUUACCGGAUGUUAAGGAAGAUAUGGAUGAUGAUGACCAUCUAAAUAAUACUAACUUGUGCCAAAUCUUGGUUUUUUUGUGUGUGAUAUUUUUCAAAUAAAUUGUGUUUAAAAUAAAAGUACAAAAUGGCAAUACAUAACAAAUAAAAAUUUGAAAGACACAUUUACGCGUAACAAGACAAACGGAAUAUAAUUAAUCACCUUUCUUCUGAACUCAACAAUUAAAAAUUAACAGCGAACAAAAAGCCGGAAGUGAUAUCAUUCUUGUCAUGUAAAAUUAUGAAGGCGCAUCGUUUUUGAAAAUUUGAUUUGCACCAUCAAAAUGUCUCAAUUAUUUCAUUAUUUCAUGAAUAAGUGAACCUUGUCGUUAUAAUUAUAACGUUUAUAGUUCUUUAUUUUAAUCAUACAAGAUUUGGCAUCAUAGAUGAUCUGUGAAUGUGUCUGAACUCUUUACGAAAUUAGGUAAGUCUUGAAUCAUAUGUUCACUUUGAUACUUUUAACUUUAAAUGCAUAAUCAAAAGUUAAAGGUUUUAACUCCUUCAGGUAAAGCUAAUAUUUAAUAUUGAUGUCGUUUUUGGUCUUCACCUGUUUUGUUCUGAUAACAAAACAUGGUAAACAUGUAUUAUUUUGAAAAACCGCUAUGAAGAGAUUUAAUUUUACAGCAAUAUAUAUGUCAAAUAAAAUUGGGAAUGGAAAUGUUGAAUGUAUGAAAGAGAAAACAACCUGAUCAAAGAGAAGACAACAGCCGAAGGCCACCUUAGGGUCGUCAAUGCAGCGAGAAAAUCCUGCACCCGGAGGCGUGCCCUAGCUGGCCCCUAAACAAAAAUGACUACUAGUUCAGUUAUGAAUGACGUCAUACUAAACUCCGAAAUAUAAAAAAAGACAUAAAAUCAAAAAUCAUCCCAGACUAACAAAGGUCAGAGGCAUCUGACUUAAAACAGAAGCAAAUAUGCAGUCGGGUUAAACAUGUGUUUUGAAAUCUCAACCCUCCACCUAUACCACUAGCCAAUGUAGAAAAAAUAAACACAAAACAAUACACACAGUUAAGCAAAAGAAGUCCGAGUCCGAUGUCAAAGUAGGUAACAAAAGAAAACAACUGUAAGACGACUUUUUAAAGGAGUUUUUGUCCAGGGAUGUUGACUAUUGACCAAAUAAAACCAAACUUAUCCAAAAUCAUGAUCGUGGUAUACAGUUUUUGAAAUGUGUAUGAUGCCUGAAAUUGUCAUGGUAUAGUUGUUCACCUUUAAGGAUGAUUUUUCUUAAAAGAAAAUUGGCACUGCUGAAAAUGAGGGGUACCUACACAGGCUCUUAGAGACUCUAGUUACAAUUUUGAACUGCCCGACUGCUCAAAGCCAAUGUAGAAAUAUUCCAUUUUGUAUACCGUUGUUACAUGUACAUGCAUUUCAUGAUAUCGGAUAUAACGAAAGCAUAGUAUGGUUUGGCUUCGAGAGUUAAGCAAAUCAUCUUCCUGGAAUUAUAGUCCGAAACGUUCAACCGCAUCAUAGGAAACUUUCUAUGAAAGAAUUAAACAAAUAUAAAUCCAAACCAUUAAUUCUAUAUAAUUCCUCAGAAGAAGAGUUUGCUCAAAAAAAUUCUGAUUGCAUAGUAAAACCAAAUUUAAUUAAAUUUAAGUAAUGUAUUCUUAAAAUGAGAAGAUGGUGUACAAAAAGAAGAUCAAUAACAUGAAAAAGCCAACCCUACUCACAUUAUUUUCCUCGAAAACAAAACCAUAUCUAUCUUUAACAUACAAGGAUGUGAAGCGAAUAGCGUUUUAUUCUCACACGCCAUGUUAUGUUAAACAGAGUCCAGAGUCUCCUUCAAUUUCCGUUUGCAAUCUAGGUGCAUCAGAUUACUUCUCUGUAUUUUGGACAAUCCAAUCCAGCUUAAGAGUGUCGACCGAUUCGUCACUUCGUUCAAUCAGAAGCAUGUUCGAAACUUUAAAACAAUGCUCUAUGUCUUUCCUUCAAAGUUUUAAAUUGAUGGACUAGGCGAACGGCUCUAGUUAAACUGAAGUUGAAAUAUUUAUUUAUUUUUGGAAGGCCCAGACGAUCAAAUUCGGAUGAUAAAAUGAAAAUUUUAAAUGAUUUCGUAGAUUCCAUGGCGUACACACUUCAAUCUGCAGGAAAACGAGGUUCUUUGGUUUUCUGACCCUGAAAUUAACUCAAACAUUUCUGCUUCAAGCGAAACGUAUAUCGAUAUCUUUCUAACUGACCGAAAUGUUUAUGAUCUAGACGUAAAAAACACAACUGUAUCAUCCAAUCUUAACACUACUAUAAACGAGUUAAAGAAAAUGACACAAACGGGCGAUCUCAAUGGCAACAUAGGCGGGUUUUCUUUCAAGAUUCUAUCAUCACAAGGAUGCUUAGAUGCAAGCUGUGACACAUUGUUAUUCAAUGUAACUGCAAAUGAUAACGGUAUGUUAUUGUAGCAAAAUGUUAUGUUAUAGUAUAAUCCCCAUUCAGUAUUACAUUAAGCACAUAUAGUAUGCUUGACAAAACAACAAAUAACACCUAAUGUACAAAGGUAAUUUUUUUUUACAGAUUAUCACAUAGCCUUCAACAAUGAACAAACUCAUGUUGUUUGUAUGCUAUUAAGACUUACGACACAAUAUGACACAAUUAAUUCAUACUACAACAAUAAUAAAAGACACCAGCCAAAGAAAACUGCUGUAUAACAGGUCGCAUGAAAAAAAACUACAUCAUGGCUUUAAACAAAACUCAACGACGAAGAAAUUCACAAAACGUGAAAUAGAAAUCUACAUCUUUUUGAAAUCAAAAUGUGACACCUUGUUUCAUUUGUUAUAUUUGAAUGAGUCGCAUGUAAAAAGACAAGGAGUUGUUGAAAUGGUUAUUUUAUCUUAUCUCUCAAUAGCCCGCAACAGGUUCAAUGAUCAUAAAUGAUUUGUAACAUAUAUUAAGAAUGCGAGGUAUUAUCUUUUACCCUUGACUUUAUUUAAGGAGACACAGUGAAACUCGAGUAGACGACAACGUUUACUUAACAAAAGAGAUAACCGAUUUGUUUGAUAACGAGAACAGAAGAAUAAACAAAUUGUUAUAAAGGUUGACUUUUGUCGUAAACAUGUUGAUAACUGAGAGAGAAAUUAAGGUUAAACUCGUGGAUUUUUAAAAUCCAAAACAAAAUCGCUGCAGUUUUAUUUUGAAGAUAUUCGAAAAAAAGGUUAGCAUGUAAUAAAUUUAAUAAAACUAAUCUCAAACCGAAAUUUCAAUAUAAUUCAAACAGCUCUGUUUGAGCGAUUAUAUUGGUUGACAAUGUGUGUGAUAUGGGACAAAUACACAGUCAUGUACGGUAACCUAGAUACAUACUUUUUUUCGCGUUCAAUGAAAGAAUUCAGACUUUGGAUUGCUAAAAACUUUGAAACCGUGAUUCAUAUCGAUAUCAACCCUGUUAACUUAUACAGUCAUUACCAAUGUUUGCAUUACCCAUAAAAUUAACUGCAUUUACUACUAAUUGCUAAAUCAAAAUGGUUUAUAAUACAUGCAAUACUUAGAAACAAACUAAUUAUCCCGAGUCAGGAGCCAGUAGUUCGGUGGUGUGUUUAUUUUAUGCGUUUUUUUUUUUAUUAUUGUUUGAUUUUUAAUCGUGUUUAAUUUUUUUUACACUUUGACCUGAAUUAUCAUUGAUAUUUUGCUAUUCCUCAGAUGUGCUAUUUAUAAAAUUUUGAAAUAUAUAAAACUACGAAACACUAACGUUUAUUCACCCCCAGUAAUAGAUUGCCGUAGACCUUUUUAAAUCAGAUUUAUUUUGUUUGUAAUGCUCUUUAACUUCGUAUUCGAUUUACUCAUUCCAAUCAUACACAUAUUUUAUAUGAAAAUACAUAUCAAAGGACGUUUGACUCAAAGCAUCCAGCGCUGAUGUAUUAGUAUGAAAAAGACUCUAAACAAAAUAACAAACGAAUAGAAUUAUUGAUACUUCCAUAUUCAAGGAUAUACAUACGAUAUUUUCAAACAGUCGACAGUCAUCAUGAUCAUUUUACAAAGCAAAAGUGUUUUCCCACGAGGAAAUACUUGAUUAUUAGAAGUAAAUUUGCAUAUGUCAUCGCAACGAAAUGUUAAAGUCGUGUACAAUACUUGUAGUUUUGUAAUCAUAAAUCGAAUUAAACUAAAACCAAUUCUACAAAGUUAACGUGGUUUCCUUAAAUGUAAGUGGUUUUAUAUGGCGGCUAAAUUUUCGUGGGGGCUUUAAUUUCGUGGAUAUAUUCUUUUCACGAAAUAAAUGAAAUUCAAUCCUCCACGAAAAUUUCAAUUUUACAGUAUGGGUUCCCUCUGUUUUGGUUUUGUGACUCGCAUUUGUUUUAGUUUAAUUCGAUUUAUGACUAUUGAACAGCGUUAUACUUCUAUUGCCUCUAUAUAUCACCACACUACUUGGCCUUUUUAUUAUGUAGAGUAUUAUUCACUUUUAUAGCGUUUAUAUAUUUAAAGUUAUUAGUAACGCACAUGUAUAUUUAUAGAAUGCAGGCUUCAUUAUAAGGGAUAUGCUCUGUAAUUGAAACUGUCCUGAAAUACAAAUGAAAAAGAACGACUGAAGUCGACGCUUUAUUAUGGUCAUGGUCACCAACACGAAUUAGUUGACCAACACGAUGUAUCUUAUCAAUUCGGCAAGGGUACUAGAAUUAAUAAAUGUGUAUGCCAGACUCGCAUUUCGUCCACAACAGACCAACUAGUGGCUCUUGAAUCAAAAAGGGCAAACAAGGCAACAAAACAAAAGAUAUUUUAGAGCAAGGAAGACACAAUUCUGAAUAUAUUUGUCUUAAUUUACCACCACCAUAUUGGAAUAAGAUACCAGACUUUAAAUUUACCGAUGGGUUUUUUUCCGAUUUGACAUAUUAAAUAAGUGAUUGGCAUGAAGGAUAUGCAAGUACAGCAUUAAACGCCUUUUCUGUAGACGUAAAAAGGUUCCUUUUUAAAGUUUAUUUGUUUGACCUGAAUUUAUAUAUAUAGAUUUGUGAGAUUUAAACUUUGGUGAAAUAAAGUAACCUUGACAUAGAAUAUAAUUGUUAUUGGAAAUUACGAAUACAUUGAUUUUCUCCUUUUAUUUCUUUAUUCAUUAUUAUCUAUUUUUUACAAUAUUAUUUGCAGGCGUUAAAUGAGAUGGAUCCAUGUGUUUUUCCAAUUUGCUGGUUAUGGUUGUUAGUAUUGGGAUUUUCCUUUCAUUGUAAACAUGUAGGUGGACGAUAAUAACAAUGGAUCCUACCGUGAAUAAUAACAGCAUACAAACAAACCCAACAAAACAUAUUUCCAAAAAUCGCACAUUUAUAUUGGGGAACAUUUUCUCUAAAGAUAUUGAACUUAGAUAUGGACAAGUGGUGUAAAAUGAAAAUAAUACUUUUUUGAUUUCGUGAGUAUAAUAGGCGAGUGAUAUUUUCAGAAAAGACGCUUAGUUUGUGACUUUAAUGCACCCACCUAACACACAGCUGAUUUUUUUAUAUGUUAUAGUAUAAUAUCUGAACUUCCUUUUUUGGUCGGUCGUAAAAAAAAUCGUACGGUGCAAUUUUUGUAAAAAUUGAAUUGAAAUCGAGAAAUAAUUCCAAACUGAAAAAUGACCAACAGUGUUGAAGCGUGAAAAAUUAACAUGCAGCUUAAUUUUCUGUAGUCACAAUGCAAAAAUUAUGUACGUUUAACAUGUCAAUGUAUAAAAAAAAUACUUUUCGAAAAUAAAAGAGGUAAUUUUUGCGAAAAAAAAAAAUUUUUGUAACUUUUUUGGAUUGUUUUUAUAAAAAUGGUGCCAAUUUUCAUAUUUUUUUUCAUAUUUUAGAUAUUUUCGGCUUGAAACCCAAUUUAAUGAUGUUCUUAUCAUUCAAAAGUUCAUUACUCGUUUAAUAAAUAUUGUUAUCACUGUAUUAUUUUGGAUUUGAUACACUUUCACACACUCAAUCAAGUUUCCCUCAAGUUAACGGACCUAAACGCUUCGAAAAAGAAUAUGAAUAACCAUGAAGGCAAUUUUUUUGGUACAAAUAUUGUGCAAAGUAUUAAAAAAAAUCAAAGGACCAUAGAAGCUGAAACGUCAACGUUUUUUAGUCUUGGUGGAAAACCAAUAUCUUAUUAUUCUUAGUUAAUUUGCACUUACAAAAGGCAGAGAAUAUGAAUAACUAAUGAAAAAUAAUUCUUUCUCAAUUGAUCAAUGCACAUUUUAGUUUUGCAACUAAAAGUACGCAAAAAUGUGUCAAAUCUAAUAUUUUUCCCAUGAACUUGAACGUGAGAUAUGCCACCUUUUAAAUUUCCUACCGUUUUAACCAUCGCAUACGGUAGACUUAAUUAUUGAUGAUUCAAAUUUGGUCAGUAUUUAGAGGAAGCAUAGUGUAUGUGCUAGGGCCAAGCCAAGAGCCUGUAUGUUGACAUGCUAUAAAUACUUUAAUAUAUGGGGAUAUAUAUUCAUGCAGUUGACAAAUUUUUAAUUCUACGUAGAUAUUUGAAAUACAAUAAAUGAUUAAUUCUUCGUAUAUAUUUGAAAUACAAUAAAUGAUUAAUUCUUCGUAGAUAUUUGAAAUACAAUAAAUGAUUAAUUCUUCGUAGAUAUUUGAAAUACAAUAAAUGUGCUACCUCAGGCGUAUAUAUUACCUAAGUCGUACUUUAGAUAGGAUUACGUGUUUUUAAAUAUGCUUCGAAGUUUUACUUGGUUCGAGCGUCACCGACGAGUCUUAUGUAGACGAAACGCGUGUCUAACGUAAACAAUCGAUCAUAUGCCGGACAUCUUUCAAAUUAAUUUGUUAUUCAGUUUGGUUGUCGUUAGUUGCUUUCUAUGAUUUUUGCUUUUGUUUGUAGUUUUGAGCAUGAAUCAAGCUUUUGGGUAUCUAAUUAAAAUUGUUUUAGAACCUUUAUAGCUUAUCAUACAGUGUUGGCUAUUGCUUCUUGAUUUAGGCCAUACAAUAAGCUAUAGUUGUUUACCUCAAAGCAUUUAGUCUCUGGUAUACAAAGAUCAUAGUGUCCUUUUAAUCAUACUUAUCAAAGGUACCGGGCUUAUAAUAUGAUAUCUUCAGGCUUCUUAUUCUAAAUAUGGAUUAACAAUUUAAGAGGACUAAUGUCAGCGGGUCAACGAUGACCUGACACUUCGUUGUAUUCUAGACAUGGAACAACGUUCUGUGUGCUGGUUAUGAGUUCUAUAACCAGUGGGAAUUAUGGUUGGCGAUGCACCAUGUUUAUUGUGCAUGUAUAGUUUUUUUUAUUAUUAAAUAUAUGUUCCUUUACCAGCAGUUCAUGCUCUUUCAGGUUCUAACAGCUCAUCAUAUAUCUUUGUUCUUAAGAAAACUCUCUUUUAACGCUUUCGAAAUAAUCAAUAGAUAGCGGGUCUAUCACAAAUUAAACAAAAUUCAAAUUGACCCGUCUACAGAUCGGUGCUGCAAGAAAACUCUAAAGUGUUCGAAACCAAAAAUAAGUAUGUAUGAGUCUAAUUGAGACGAUUUGAGCAAGCUACAUAUCAGGCUUACAACCAAAACGAUUGCCAUCGUGUCACGCCUACCACUAAGUGCAUCAUCAUUCAAACUACAUGUUCUGAAAGCUAGCAAACAAAGUCAUGGCGUCAUAUAACAAACAAAUACGCCAGUAGGUUUACCCAUGAAUGAGUACGGAUGACAAAAGUGGUCUUAAUACGUCAUACUUUCUGCAGGAUUUGAUAAACUUGUUCUUGUGAAGGAAAAAUAUAUGAUAUGCAUUAGGGAGCUUGUGCAUGUACUGAAAUCAUUGAAAGCCUCUGCUACACAGAAUUAUUUCAGUAACAGCGUUAAAAAUCACAAAAUAAAAAAUUGCAUCAUUUGUAAUAAAUCAGAUAAAUUUCUUUUCUUUUAAAGAAAUAGAUUAUUCACAGAAACUCCUCCAGAAUGAAAAAAAAACUAUAUAUAGGUUUAGUCGAAUUAAAUUCCGCAAAUUCCACCUUCAUAUUAGUUGAAAAAUAUCUAUAUAUAUCUAAGUUUUGAAUACUGGUAAGAAAUCAAUGUUUGCAUUUUUAACUGCAAACCUUUUAACUGCACAAAUGUGAGUGAAAAUAAAUGCAGUCGUAAUAAAAAAAAAAUACGUUAAGAAAUUAAAGUGUUUGUAGAUUAUAUAAUCCCAAAUGUCAAAAUAAAGGUCACCGUGGGACCUAACUUUAGUUUGUAAAUCACCGCAUUUUGCAUCUGGGGUCAGUUUAACAACGAAUCUUAUGACUAAAACUGGUCGUAAGUAAUGAAUAGUCCAGUUUACUUACAAUUAAUCUUGUCUUACGUUUUUUUGUUAAACCGACUUCUGUAUCUGAAGUUUGGUAAACCUUAGUGUUGCAGCUAUAUAUGUCGCGGGCAGGAUUCCAUUAUGAUUGGAUCAAUAUCACAGUGACCUGAUUUUAGUUUAUGACCAUCCCCUAUUAUAUAAUGUAUAUUCAUACUUAGUUUGGAAAACCCAGGUUCAACGGUUCAAAAGAUAUGGACCGGACACAAACCAGACAAGCACGAAUCAAACAAUGUUUGAAAACUUGACGGCUCAAAUGUCAAUGCCAAUGUCAAAAUGAACUGAUUUAGUUUAUGAAGAACCACGUGCCAUCCCAUAAUACAUCUCUGAACUAAGUGUGUUUAACAUCAGUUAUAUAGUUCAAAGCAAUGCAUUUUAUGUUUGAAAGCAUUGGUGUUUGGAAGAGCUGUAUAUCUGUGUACAUGUAUAAGUUACCUGAUUUGAUUCGACACGGGCCACAAACAAGUGGGGACUGACUUAAAAUGUGAAUCCUCUUUAACUUUGCUUGUGGUUGUAUUAAACAUGUACGAUAGUGAUUUCCGAUCUUGACACGGUUUGUAGGCUGUUAACAAACAGGAGACUAUUGUCACUGUUGAUGUGACAAAGUCGUGUACAUUUUAUUCUCUUUAUUGCGUUGUUUUCUCUCCCUUUUACUCGUCCUACUUACAAAUAUUUAAUCAUAUUUUUCUUAUUUUGCAUGGCACACCAUCAAUUAUAAUAAAUAUAAACACAUGUAAGGUCAAAUAUUUGUUCUACGUCGUUUUUGUAGAAAGUACCGUUUACAUAUAGCAAAGUGAAAACGUCAAAAUGACGUCAAUUAUCGCCAAACCAUGAACGAUGUGCAACUAAGAAUCAGGGAGACGUUAUCAUAGUAUCGUGUAAAGUAACAUUUGAAAUAACUAUAUUACUUGCUGCUUCAAAUGAGACAAUAAUACUACAAAAGUGUUACUCUUUCAAUUUUUUACGAAUGACCUUUGACCCCAAUUUAAAAAAAAUUGCACCAUAUUUCACUUUUACGACCGGGAAAAAUGGAAUCUACACAUGUUUUCCUUUCGAAUGAUAUAUAAUAUAGCUGUGUGUUAGAUAGGUACAUUAAAAAUAUUUUUCAGGUCUGAAUGUCACUCGCCUAUAACACUGUAUUUUAUUUUCAAAAAUACAUUCCAAGGGCAAAUUGACAUAACAAACUAUAUUUGUAGCUGCCAUGAGUUUUCACAAAUAUUCUGUAGUUGCCACGAGUAUACACAAAUAUUCUGUAACUUGCAACAAUUGUUAGAAUAUGACUUACUUUUUGUUUGCAUAUAUUUUUAAUAAUGCCACAUCCUCAAAAUUUUAAUUUAACUCUACGUGCUUAAAUUUAGAUGUGUAAAAGUUUUUUAUAAAACAAUCUUGACGUAUUAACUUAUAAAAAAGUAAGAUUACGAUAUUCUUUAUCUUAUUACAUUUUUACUUGCAAAUAUCAACGCAGUAAGUGCUACUACUCAAGCAGGGUCACCCUUGUGUGGUUUUAUAAACUGCAUCAUAAAAAUAAAUGUCUCAAAUUCUAAAUCGAUUUUUAUGUUUUAUUUCAUCUUCUACAAUAUUUAUUUUUAUCUUGACUUUUGAAACUUUCGUUACUUUUUUUGAUAAAAUUUGUAACAUUGUAGAUCGAGUACGUCGAAAGUAGUUUGCUAGUGUUCAUUUUGGUAUAAUUUGGUUUUGCCAUUUGCUUAGGGAAUUCCGUUUUGAAUUUUCCUCCGAGCUCAGUAUUUUUGUGAUUUUACUUUCCAAUAAGAAGAGACAUGUCAGAUUGUAAAGAAAGGAAAUAUUAUGAACCCCCAAAGAAGCGAGGAAUGGUGUGUCGAUAAUGUAAGAGCUUUCUGUUGUGCAUGUAUUAACUAUCAUGUGAAUCCACACUGUUAUUGAUGAAUUAUAAAAACAAAUGCAGUACUUUUUUUCGAAAAGAAGGGCGAAAGUUACUAAUGAAACACUUAAAUUAAUUGAUGACAAACUGACGACACCAUGUCAACUAACAACAAUAUAGAAAAAAAAACCAAUUACAUGAACAAGAAAUCUUAUGACACGAACCCGAGAAAAAGAUUCCAGGUCCGGAAGGGUAACCAUAUUCUGAUCUAUAUGUCGUGUUGUUCAUGUAAACACACACUCGGUGAUUAGUCUAAUUAUGUGAUGCCACAUUCGAAUAAAAGAAAACGAUAAUUUGAUCAUAUUCGUCGUCGUCUGUGAAACAGAUAUUACAUUAUAAUCAACCACCCCAUGCAGUCGUCUGCAAAUUUUUCCAAAGAUGACUUUAACUUCACCACUUAAAAUCCUUGUUUAAGUACAGUAAAACAUUGAAAGUAAUAACCAUUCGUCAAGGUAAUCAUGAUAGGAAAUGAAGUUGCUGGAAAAUCGUAUCAACUAGGACAUAUACACUUCCAUAUCCAGGGGCUCCUUGGAUGGUUCUACAUCAACAUAAAAAUGUAUAACUUUGAAACCGAUAUUAUCUUUUUUGUGGUAAAAUUUUAUUUUUGACCGACUCUUAUUGUUUGAUUCCAGAUGAAAGUCAAUAUAUGAAAGCAGACUUAAGUGGAAUAUUUUAUACUUUUAUUUUGAUCUAAAUGGGAUAGAUGCAGUCAACAUAGUCAACAAAUGUUGAGGUGUUUUUUUUUGGAGAGUAUAACAUUAUUUAGCGGAACGUGAAGUUAGCGAAUGAUUUUUGCUUCUUUCCAUUAUUUUCAAGAAGCUUUUGUAUUAGGUCCGCCUCAUCAGAAUAAAUAGUCUGAUUGCUUAUAAACAAAACGAAAACGAAACAGAAGUUACAAACGAUAUAUCAAAUGUCUAACCUAAUGAUACGACCCAACGAAUUCUUCGUACUUUGCAUACAGAGUCUUUUAGUAAAAUAUCAAUACUAUAAUAUAAUAAAACAGCGUUAGAGUAAAUCCAAUGUUUAACCAAGUUUAAGAUACACAGUUAUAGCUAGAUGACUUUUGUGAAUAAGCCUGUGUGAUAAUCUUUUUUUUUCCUUUUUAAAAUUUAAUCAACACCCACAGUGCAGGCCAAAGUUUGCUGAUAUAAUAGAAUGUAAUUGUAUUAAUAAGAUAUACCUUCACCAAUAGAUAGCAAAGCGAGAAAAAAAUCAGUAUGCACAUAAAAACCAAAAUUUCUUCCAAGGUCAACCUUUCGUGAGUUUUGUUACCCGAAUUAGCACACACUCUAAUACUUAUACAUGUACAUAGUGACAAAAAUGUAAUCUCAAUAACGAACAAAAAAUUUAAUCUUCAGAUAUAUAUUUUUUUUAUAAAUGAUUAUACGAAAAGGAAUAAAUCAUAGGAUGGAUUGAUGAAAAAGGGGACAUACGAUAAUAAACAGAAACCAGGUUAAUCAGCUAUGUGAUACAGAUAAUUCAUUUUGACUUGAUAAAUAUUUACAACAUUAUUCUAUAUAUCUAUAGAAUUAUCUCCCCUGGCUUACAAACAUUAAAUCAUGUGACUCUUAUUACCUUCCUUUUCCACAGAAAUGUUCUAUUUAUAAGACUAAAUUAGGUAUGUAAUUUUAUCGUUUUAUCUCUGUAUUAUACACAAACAUCCACACAAACACACAUACUUUAACUGUGUAGUAGGUUUUUUUUAUACUUUUUUAUUUUAUUUUGAUCAACUUUCGUUUCAGUUGUUUUGUGAGAUAUGUUAGAACACGUUGAAUGUCUUACUAAUUAUGCCUAUUUCAACUAUGUUUUUAUUGUGUGCUUCUAUUUUUGUGGAAUUUUGUCUUUAUUGUUUCCGCGUAAUGCGUUGUUGGGACAUAGAAAUAUUGGGCGUCCUUAAAUACCGUCCUUCACUCCGUCCACACGUCUGUCCGUCCGGUCUUGUUUAAUAGCGCGCUCUUACUAAUAUCUACAAUUCUUGCCAAAUUUUUAUAAAACUUAUAACGCAGGUUUACAUCAACAAUGUAUUCGACUAUAUAGUUCGAUAUAUAAGCAGUUCUGAUCAUGUACAUGAUGUAUUUAUAAAAGAGAUAGAAUGUGUAUAAGCCAUUUAGAAUCAUUAAUUGGAAAAUCGCAUUGUCAGCGGAAUCAUUUGUACAAUUUGUGACAGAACUUUAUAAAACUUAUACGGUAGGUUAUAUUAUUAAUAUCUAAUACGAGUGUGAAAAGCAAUGCCAAUCGAUAAUUUUUAAUAGACGUGUUACGAAAUUGUAUCUACUCGACGCUGAGGUUGACAAAAAAUUAGACUUUAAAUGCCGGUAUCGGAUCAAAGCAAACAAGUUAUUUAAAUAUUUUAAUUAUCUGUGCAUCAUGGUGUUAAACUGCAUAGUAAUGAUAAAAAGAAAACAAACAAAAAUACUGAACUCAGAAGAAAAUUUAAUCGGAAAGUCCAUUAUAACAUGGCAAAAUCAAAAGACAAAACAGAUCAAUAACGAAUGGACAAGAACUGUCAUGUCCGCUUAUAUUUACUUCAAUAACACACGUCUUUUUAAAAACUUUAUCAUAGCUAAUUUCCUGUUGAAUAUUCCUUAAGGAACAAAUAUGAUAUAAUAAUUAUUCCGUGAAGAAUAAAUGAUAUAUACCCCGUUUAACUUUGGAAAUACAUUUCCUUGGAUUGUUUCUUUUGUUGACUAGUAUAUACUAAUCUGUUUGAUACCUACUAAGAAAAAGAUUGAUUUCCUUUAUAUUAUUUUCAUGUAAAAUGUGACCGGUUUGACCCAACAACAUCUAUAUAUAUUCCUGCAACCAAGUGAAACUAACAAUUUUUAGUAUGGCGUUCAUUAUCAUCUAUAUUUGUUUAGGGCCAGCUAGAAUUUCUCGCUAUUGAAGAUGUUGGUGACCCUCUGCUGUUGUUUUUUAUUUGGGCGGGUUGUUUGUCUCUUUGACACAUUCCCCAUUUCCAUUCUCAAUUUUAAAGUUUCAAAAUAUUCCGUUUUGUAACUUUCUGAAGUAAUGUACGAGGUAUGCCCCUUGGAAAAAAAAUUGUAACGAAAAUUGCCUUACAUUUGCCUUGAAGCGUUCAUUUCUUUAAGAUUAUUAUAAAAAGUUUUUAGAAUGACGAUAACCGAAAAAAAGUUGUUUUUGUAAUUGUCCUUGUUCCUCAACAGAUAAAAAAAACUUUGGUCAUCUUCUUUUUCUUUCUUUUUUAAAAUUUAAUGUUGUUUUUAUACAUGUACCAUGCAUACUCUUUAAAUAAAGUUUAACAACAUUUUAUGUGUUUUAGAAUUACAAAAACUAUAUGUGAAAAACUUCUAAAUUUUAUAGUCGAAGUGUUUCGAGUAGUUUUUGGGGAGUAUAGUUUCAAGUUUAACAUAUAUGUUUCUACCCUCGUGUGGAUCGUAUACUUGGUAAAUUAUAAGAACGACAAGUAUGCGGUGAUUGGAAGAUGAUUUUGGCCGCAGUGAAUUACUUAUUAUCGAGCAAAAAUAUUUAUAUUACGAUACAAAAACUGGUAUUUGCUGUUAGUUCGCUAAGCAUGCUGCAAAAAAGAGUUAUUGACUCGGAGGUCAGAAGCUUAUAGUAAGCCAACACGUCUUAUGUUAUGUAUGUCAUUUUCUUAAAAUUAGCUGUAAAAAUAAUGAUAUUGAAUUUAAAUGAAACUUGAACUUUAAAUUAUUAUUAAAGGCCUUAAAGAUAAAUUAAAUUAUAACCAAUAAAGUAUGCGAGACAUUUCAGAAUAUAUUAGAUAAAAUUGAGAAUGGAAUUGGGGAAUGUGAAAAAGAGACAACAACCCGACCAUAGAAAAAACACAACAGUAUUCAUGUAAGUACAUGCAAUCUAUUUUAGGAUUAUGGCCACCAAUUGGGGUAUUUGUGGUAUUUGUGAAAACCUUCAGAUUACCAAACCUUCAGUAGUAUGGUGUUCCGAAUGUGACGAAGGACUUUGUGGAGAGUGUAAGAAACAUCAUGCAGUUUCCAAGGCAUCAAAAAACCAUGAAACCGUUUCUAUCGCCAAAUACAAAAACUUACCCACCGAAGUCCUGCAAAUCUCUCAGACCUGCAAACUUCAUAAUGAGAAAUACGAGCUGUUUUGUGCAAAACACGAUUGUCCUUGCUGUAAGAAAUGUGUGAAAUCUCACAACGAUUGUAAAGGUUUAACUGACAUAAAUGAACUCAUAAAAAACGUAAAAACUUCAAACGCAUUUAAUGAAAUCGAACAAACCCUGCAGGAAGUCGUCGAGAAUAUUAAACGACUAAGCACAAACAGGAAUGAAAAUUUAAAAUCUAUAGAAAACAAGAAAAGAGAAAUUGAAGCAGCAAUAAAACAAACCAGGA
rnacentral:lncRNA from 1 species